rnacentral:rRNA from 1 species
UACGAAGGGGGGCUAGCGUUGUUCGGAAUCACUGGGCGUAAAGGGCGCGUAGGCGGCUUUGUAAGUCGGGGGUGAAAGCCUGUGGCUCAACCACAGAAUUGCCUUCGAUACUGCAUGGCUUGAGACCGGAAGAGGUAAGUGGAACUGCGAGUGUAGAGGUGAAAUUCGUAGAUAUUCGCAAGAACACCAGUGGCGAAGGCGGCUUCCUGGACCUGAUCUGACACUGAGGAGCGAAAGCGUGGGGAGCGAUCCGG